AGGCGAUAUGGCCAAGUGGUAAGGCACAAGAUUGCAAAUCUUUGAUCCCCAGUUCGAAUCUGGGUGUCGCUUUC
rnacentral:tRNA from 1 species